CCUACGGGAGGCAGCAGUGAGGAAUAUUGGUCAAUGGGCUUACGCCUGAACCAGCCAAGUCGCGUGAGGGAAGACUGCCCUCUGGGUUGUAAACCUCUUUUGUCAGGGAGCAACGCCUGCUACGUGUAGCCGGACUGAGAGUACCUGAAGAAAAAGCAUCGGCAAACUCCGUGCCAGCAGCCGCGGUAAUACGGAGGAUGCGAGCGUUAUCCGGAUUUAUUGGGGGUAACGGGUGCGUAGGCGGAAUGCCAAGUCAGCGGUAAAAUCGCGGGGCUCAACCGCGCUCCGCCGUUGAAACUGGCGUUCUUGAGUAGGCGAGAGGCAUGCGGAAUGCGUGGUGUAGCGGUGAAAUGCAUAGAUAUCACGAAGAACACCGGUUGCGAAGGCAGCAUACCGACGCGCAACUGACGCUGAAGCACGAAAGCGUGGGUAGCGAACAGGAUUAGAUACCCGGGUAGUC
rnacentral:rRNA from 1 species